CCCGCAGCUGUGAGGGCAGCUCGCUUGUAGCAGCCCUGGGAGCACGUGGUAGGGAAGGGGAGCCAGGGCCAGCACUGACAAGGGAGAAUCGCGGCGCCAAGGUCCCUUUGCGCACAGCCCAAAUUCGAAGGACGCGUUUCCCUGGGAACGUCCCUGGAGGACGGGGAAUCUGUAUGCCAUUACCAGCCAUUGAACCACCCCUGCUCUCGGUGCCUGUUUCCAGCAGGCUCACCCCAGAAACACAAGGUGCUUAAGACGGGUUCGCGGCGCAUGGGGCUGCCGACCACCUGACGGCGGGCACCAGCUCCGCAGAUGCGCAUUCAUCCAACUGCAGGCGCUGCACUCAAAGGCGUGUAGGCCCUGAGCCUGUAUAACUUCCUCUGGACCCACGCAAUUCCCUUGGAGAGCGCCAGGCACGACCCUGCUGUGGCUUCUAACUACAAGGCUUCCCUCAGGUGGACAGGCCCACCCCUCAGGGAGACUAGGAUAAGAGGACACCACACACCCGGACAUCAGCGGAGCAUGUCCAGCACCCAGCACACAAAGGCCUCCUGCAUCUCAGAAACUCAGAGAAGCAGCCGCCUCACACCACCCCCGGCCCCUCCCGUCCCUCAGCUGCAACCACCUGCCCACUUUUUCUGCCUCCCGUCUCUGGUCAGCCCAGGCCGUCUUGGCCGGGGUCCACCCACUCCAAAAACCACCACAGUUGUGGCGUUGCCUCCUCGCCAGACAGAGAUAGAGGGCCAACAAUGAAGGGUGACUGGCCAAAUGUCUGGGAGAUGGCCCUGUUCCACAUUGUCUGUGUUCUUGCGAAAUUGCAAGGCGUCACGAGGCUUGCCCACCCAAUCCUCUGGAGAGUUCUUGCGCAGAGGUAGAUUGUUUGGCACACGAGAUGUCGGCGUGGGUCGGAAAGCAUGCGGAAGUCCUGCUUUGCUACGUGAUGGAUUUGCAGGUGGAGGAACUCAGCCAUCCCGGUUACCGGUGGCAGGAUGAUUUCCUUUCAUCCCAACCUUUAUUUCCACAGUGAAAUCAUCAUGAAGGAGCACUGUGUUGGCAUCCUCGGCUACAGGGUGUCUCAUUCCACUGCAGUCCAGCGGUUCUGGGAUCACGAAGGUCAAGCCUCCAGCUGCAGGCAGUACACCUCCUACCUGAGCUCAUUCAGCUGUUUGGCUGAACAUGACUGCCCGGGUUUUGGCAGGAUUGCUG
rnacentral:lncRNA from 1 species